UACGAAGGGGGGCUAGCGUUGCUCGGAAUUACUGGGCGUAAAGCGCACGUAGGCGGCUCUUUAAGUCGGGGGUGAAAUCCUGGAGCUCAACUCCAGAACUGCCUUCGAUACUGUAGAGCUUGAGUUCGGGAGAGGUGAGUGGAACUGCGAGUGUAGAGGUGAAAUUCGUAGAUAUUCGCAAGAACACCAGUGGCGAAGGCGGCUCACUGGCCCGUGAUACUGACGCUGAGGUGCGAAAGCGUGGGGAGCAAACAGG
rnacentral:rRNA from 1 species